UACGUAGGUGGCGAGCGUUGUCCGGAAUCAUUGGGCGUAAAGAGCGCGUAGGUGGCUUGUCAGGUCUGAUGUGAAAUCCUGGGGCUCAACUCCAGAACUGCAUCGGAAACCGGCUUGCUAGAGUCUGGGAGAGGAGAGUGGAAUUCCUGGUGUAGCGGUGAAAUGCGUAGAUAUCAGGAGGAACACCGGUAGCGAAGGCGGCUCUCUGGAACAGUACUGACACUGAGGCGCGAAAGCUAGGGGAGCGAACAGG
rnacentral:rRNA from 1 species